AUUUAUUUCACCUGUUGCCCUUUGUGAAUGUUGCAGAUUUGUUCCCUAUUCACCACAAUUUCCUUUUUUUGGUAAAUGUGGCCUUAACAGGGUUAUUCAUCAAAGAAAUCACUCACUAAGUUACGAAUUAUAGCAAAUUUAAAUUAUAAUUGCAAAAUUUAGGCUGAAUUAGCUAAUCUGUAAAACAUCUAAGGUCACAGCUUGGCAUUUUUUUUUUUGUAGAAAGUAAAAAUAAAAAACCAAACCCU